rnacentral:lncRNA from 1 species
UUUUGAAGCUGAGAAAUCUUGCCUUUUAGGGUGUACUUACUUGGACCGCUCGCCUUUGUAAACUCUGAAAUGAGUAUGUGCCCCCAAAGGAUUUCUGGACCGAGACACUUGCCAAAUGACUGUCCUCUGGUGCUGUGACUGCAAAUCCCCCGUGUUCAGAAGUCUCAUUCAUUUGGAUGGGAAACUGCAGUCUAAAUGGAAGAUCAACAGGCUGAACGAUUUCAGGGUGAGACUGCAAAUGCACUGGCUAGACAUGAGGGUCUACACUUCUCCAUGUGCAGAGAUGCAUGUCCAGAGCCAGCUAUGUAACAGCAGCUCCCAGAACGAACAUUUCCAAGCUUAGACAGCCUUUUCACCUGGGCUUUGAUUCAGGCUCUUUUCUAUCUUACAGCAGGUUGAGGUUAAAGGUAAAUGUUUUCACCAUGUGGCUGCCAG